rnacentral:rRNA from 1 species
GACGAACGCUGGCGGCGCGCUUAACACAUGCAAGUCGAGCGAGAACCAGGGCUUCGGCCCUGGGGACAGCGGCGAACGGGUGAGUAACACGUGGAUAACCUGCCCUCGGCACCGGGAUAGCCCCGGGGGAAAACCCGGAUUAAUACCGGAUGGCCUUUCCGGCUCUCGAGCCGGUCGGAAAAGGUAGCUUCGGCCUCCGGCCGAGGAUGGGUCCGCGGCGGAUUAGCUUGUUGGUGAGGUAACGGCCCAUCAAGGCUCCGAUCCGUAGCUGGUCUGAGAGGACGAUCAGCCACACUGGGACUGUGACACGGCCCAGACUCCUACGGGAGGCAGCAGUGGGGCAAUCUUGCGCAAUGGGCGAAAGCCUGACGCAGCGACGCCGCGUGUGGGAGGAAGGCCUUCGGGUUGUAAACCUCUUUCAGGAGGGACGAAGCUACUCGGGUGAAUAGCCCAGAGGGUGACGGUACCUCCAGAAGAAGCCCGGCUAACUACGUGCCAGCAGCCGCGGUAAUACGUAGGGGGCAAGCGUUGUCCGGAUUUACUGGGCGUAAAGCGCGUGUAGGCGGCCACGCAGGUCCGUUGUG